rnacentral:rRNA from 1 species
AGAGCGAACGCUGGCGGCAUGCUUAACACAUGCAAGUCGCACGGCUGGGGAAACCCAGCAGUGGCGGACGGGUGAGUAACGCGUAGGUAUCUAUCUCCGGGUGGGGGACAACUGUGGGAAACUACAGCUAAUACCGCAUGAUGCCCGAGGGCCAAAGGCGCAAGUCGCCUGGAGAGGAGCCUGCGUACGAUUAGCUUGUUGGCGGGGUAAUGGCCCACCAAGGCGACGAUCGUUAGCUGGUCUGAGAGGAUGAUCAGCCACACUGGGACUGAGACACGGCCCAGACACCUACGGGUGGCAGCAGUCGAGAAUUUUUCACAAUGGACGAAAGUCUGAUGGAGCGACGCCGCGUGGAGGAUGAAGGUUUUCGGAUUGUAAACUCCUGUCACUGCAGAACAAGGAUACGUCAGUUAACAGCCGACGUAUUUGAUGGUAUGCGGAGAGGAAGGGACGCUAACUCUGUGCCAGCAGCCGCGGUUAAC